AACGAACGCUGGCGGCAUGCCUAACACAUGCGAGUCGAUCGAGACCUUCGGGUCUAGUGGCGCACGGGUGCGUAACGCGUGGGAACCUGCCCUUAGGUUCGGAAUAACUCCCCGAAAGGGGUGCUAAUACCGGAUAAUGUCUUCGGACCAAAGAUUUAUCGCCUUUGGAUGGGCCCGCGUUGGAUUAGCUAGUUGGUAGGGUAAAAGCCUACCAAGGCGACGAUCCAUAGCUGGUCUGAGAGGAUGAUCAGCCACACUGGGACUGAGACACGGCCCAGACUCCUACGGGAGGCAGCAGUGGGGAAUAUUGGACAAUGGGCGAAAGCCUGAUCCAGCAAUGCCGCGUGAGUGAUGAAGGCCUUAGGGUUGUAAAGCUCUUUUACCCGGGAUGAUAAUGACAGUACCGGGAGAAUAAGCGCCGGCUAACUCCGUG
rnacentral:rRNA from 1 species